rnacentral:rRNA from 1 species
CAGUCGAGCGGAACGACACUAACAAUCCUUCGGGUGCGUUAAUGGGCGUCGAGCGGCGGACGGGUGAGUAAUGCCUAGGAAAUUGCCUUGAUGUGGGGGAUAACCAUUGGAAACGAUGGCUAAUACCGCAUGAUGCCUACGGGCCAAAGAGGGGGACCUUCGGGCCUCUCGCGUCAAGAUAUGCCUAGGUGGGAUUAGCUAGUUGGUGAGGUAAUGGCUCACCAAGGCGACGAUCCCUAGCUGGUCUGAGAGGAUGAUCAGCCACACUGGAACUGAGACACGGUCCAGACUCCUACGGGAGGCAGCAGUGGGGAAUAUUGCACAAUGGGCGCAAGCCUGAUGCAGCCAUGCCGCGUGUAUGAAGAAGGCCUUCGGGUUGUAAAGUACUUUCAGUUGUGAGGAAGGGGGUGUUGUUAAUAGCCACAUCUCUUGACGUUAGCAACAGAAGAAGCACCGGCUAACUCCGUGCCAGCAGCCGCGGUAAUACGGAGGGUGCGAGCGUUAAUCGGAAUUACUGGGCGUAAAGCGCAUGCAGGUGGUUCAUUAAGUCAGAUGUGAAAGCCCGGGGCUCAACCUCGGAACUGCAUUUGAAACUGGUGAACUA